rnacentral:rRNA from 1 species
UUCAGAAGUACAUAGCAGUGUGCUGGUAAACUUUUAAGUUUGGAAAGUUCUAAUUCCUAACUGAAUUUUAUCUAAAAGACUUUUUAGGAUAAGCUAGAAAGUUAAAAGAGAAACUGCAUUAACUAAGAAUAAANGUGAUGUAAGCUUGAAAUUAGCUACCAUUACGAGUUUGUUAUAAGACAACUUAACUANNUCUUAGAAGAUUUUUAUGCUUACGUGUUUCUUUGAGUAUGAAGACAUAGGGAGGAAUUNGAUUUNCCCUAAAGCCUAUGCUAAGAUGAGUAUUAAAUUAUCGGAAUAGUUAAGAAGAGNNUAUUUUUAUCUUCUUAUUUAUUAAAGUUNUUUCAUACUAAAUAGGGAAAAGGAACUCGGCAAGAUUGGCUGUUUCGCCUGUUUAUCAAAAACAUCGCUCUUUGUUAUCUAAAAAAUAAAGAGUCGGACCUGCCCAGUGAAAAUUUUAACGGCCGCGGUACUCUGACCGUGCAAAGGUAGCAUAAUCAUUUGCCUUAUAAUUAAAGGCUUGUAUGAAUGGUUUGACGAAAUCAGCACUGUCUCUUCUCUAUUUUAUAGAAUUUGACCUGGGGGUGAAGAGGCCCCUAUUGAACUGAAGGACAAGAAGACCCUGUCGAGCUUUAAAAAUAACUAGAAAAUCAGUAUAAAAAUNNNUAAAUAAAUUACUAGGUAUUUUUUUUGGUUGGGGCGACUAAGGAACAAAAAAAGCUUCCUCUAUUUCCAUAAACUCCGCAAGUUAAAGAUCCAGCUAUGCUGAUCAAAGGAAUUAGUUACCGCAGGGAUAACAGCAUAAUCUCCUUUGAGAGACCGAAUCGAAAAGGGGGGUUGUGACCUCGAUGUUGGACUAGGGUAUCCUGAAGGUGCAGAAGCCUUUAAGGGUUGGUCUGUUCGACCAUUAAAAUC